AAGCUCAAAUUUGAAAUCUAGCACUUUCAGUGUUCGAGUUGUAAUUUGAAGAAGGUAUCUUUGGAGUUGGCCCCCGUCUAUGUUCCUUGGAACAGGACGUCACAGAGGGUGAGAAUCCCGUGCGAUGGGGAGACCAAUUCUAUGUAAAGUUCCUUCGAAGAGUCGAGUUGUUUGGGAAUGCAGCUCUAAGUGGGUGGUAAAUUCCAUCUAAAGCUAAAUAUUGGCGAGAGACCGAUAGCGAACAAGUACAGUGAUGGAAAGAUGAAAAGAACUUUGAAAAGAGAGUGAAAAAGUACGUGAAAUUGUUGAAAGGGAAGGGCUUUUGAUCAGACUUGGUGUUUAGUACUCUCUACUCCUUGUGGGUGGGGCUCUUGCUUUAUACUGGGCCAGCAUCGGUUUGGAUGGUAGGAUAAUAGCAUUGGAAUGUGGCUUCAUUCGUGAAGUGUUAUAGCCCUUGUUGAUACUACCUAUCUAGACCGAGGACUGCGUCUUU
rnacentral:rRNA from 1 species